rnacentral:rRNA from 1 species
AUGAGACAUGUGGAGGUGGAGUUUCCCAUGCUCGUCGCCAACACGCGCACCACCGUAGACGUGGUAUGGCAAGACGGCACACGGCAACAAGGCAUACCUUCAGCGACCAUCGUCCCCUUUGGGAUCUGGAAUGAGCAAGAGUUCUUUCCCGGACAACAUGUUGUCGCCAACGUUCUUCCUGUUAAUGCCGCCGUUGACGCUACUGCUGACGUGACAAUUACUAGUGUCAACAACGACAUUGCCGCAUCUGGAACUGGACCAGCGGAGCGUGUCGGCAUCGUCAAGAGCAUGCAACACGAGGACCAGACGGUUUGUGUAUCAUGGUUCAAGACGCCAGGGCAUCCCGAUGAGGCUAUGGAGGUCGAGUGCGAUGAUACCGUCAGUGCUUAUGACCUAAGAUUGGACUCUAAUCACUUUGCUUACUAUGGUGAUAUUGUCAUUCGUAUCAUACCAUCGGUACCAACAGAUGACGGUGAAAGUGCACCCUUGUUACAGGGAAACAAGAAGAAAAAUGCCGUUCCCGCCGAUCUUUCAUGGGUGGGGCGGGUAGUUGAACUUCCUAAUGGGCACGUCCAAGUCAAUUGGGGUGAUGGUAGCAUGUCAACGGUAUCGCCUCAUGAGAUCGUUGUCAUCAAAGAUGAGCACUACAUGGAGCUAUGGCUUGAAAUGUGUGACUGGGUAGAGGACAAUGGCAUCGAUGAAGCACCCGAAGAACCGGUUGCUGCCAACACGGACAUUGAUCUUCAGAAUCUAGAUAACUAUGUCGAAAGUGUCAGCCCGACAAUGUCAAGGACAAGACUUUUAGGUUUGUCAUUCCGGUCUUUGCUUCAAUUGACCAGCGACAUGGUGGCUCGAGGUAAAGGAUACUUGAUGAACUGGCGGUCAUCGUCGUCGUCGUUGCCAAGCUCAGAGUUACCCACGCCCGCAAACGAUGAUAGUAUCGGUGGUGCUGCAGUGGAGACCAGCGAUGCUGCUGUAGAUGUGAGCAGCCACGGUUUUGACGGUGGGCCGAAGGCUGCAGGUGCUACCUGUUGCUUCGAUAAAUCGUUGUGCUUUCCACGUUUCGAUGUACUGUAG